rnacentral:sRNA from 1 species
CCUUGCCCCUGAUAGCAGUGGCAGCCUCGAAAAUUAGAACACUAUUUUUUACUUCCUGUAUAGAGCGACCAGCGGAAGCUCCUGUACGGGAAAGUAAAAAAAGUGUUCUAAUGGAGAGCUACAGCGGAUAGCAGGAUAAGGC